rnacentral:rRNA from 1 species
UACGUAGGGUGCAAGCGUUGUCCGGAAUUACUGGGCGUAAAGGGCGAGUAGGCGGUCUGCCAAGUCAGGUGUGAAAUCCUCCGGCUUAACCGGAGGGGGUCGCUUGAAACUGGCCGACUGGAGUGCAGGAGAGGCUAACGGAAUUCCCGGUGUAGUGGUGAAAUGCGUAGAGAUCGGGAGGAACACCAGUGGCGAAGGCGGUUAGCUGGCCUGUAACUGACGCUGAGGCGCGAAGGCUAGGGGAGCAAACAGG